rnacentral:rRNA from 1 species
UCCCAGACUCCUACGGGAGGCAGCAGUGGGGGAUAUUGCACAAUGGGGGGAACCCUGAUGCAGCGACGCCGCGUGGGUGAAGAAGUAUUUCGGUAUGUAAAGCCCUAUCGGCAGGGAAGAAUUUAGACGGUACCUGACUAAGAAGCCCCGGCUAACUACGUGCCAGCAGCCGCGGGAAUACGUAGGGGGCAAGCGUUAUCCGGAUUUACUGGGUGUAAAGGGAGCGUAGACGGCGAUGCAAGUCUGAAGUGAAAGGCGGGGGCCCAAACCCCGGACUGCUUUGGAAACUGUAUAGCUGGAGUGCAGGAGAGGUAAGUGGAAUUCCUAGUGUAGCGGUGAAAUGCGUAGAUAUUAGGAGGAACACCAGUGGCGAAGGCGACUUUCUGGACUGUACCUGACGCUGAGGCGCGAAAGCGUGGGUAGCGAACGGGAUUAGAUACCCCCGUAA